GAUCUGCCCUCUAAAUGUGUUCAUUCCCCCUGAUGUGACCAUCACGGUACUGGACCUCAACGACGCUUGCUAGGACCCUAGACUGGAUCUUAUUGGUGGUUUCUCAACCUGUAGUGAGAACGUUUAGAAAAUCAGGAUUCAACUCCAUCUCGCCAGCACGUGUGGAUUCCAUUUGCUAAAGAUAUUGUGCCGGAUAUUGAUACAGAGAGUAGAGAGAUGUGGAUUACACCACCAAAGGGUCUUUUUGAGGUCAACACACGUCAUGGGUAAUCAAAGAAAGAAAGGCAUCAGAUGGUUAGGUCCACCCAUCCUUUUUUUUGCAUGUGUUGAUCUCUUUUGCGUGCGAUGGUGGUGUCACAAGAUGACAAGAAGGCCAAGGUGAUGGCCGACGGCGACGACAGCAUGGUCACCAUCUUCAGCAACAUCGACUCCCAGCUACAGUAGGGCUCCGUUGCCUAUAGAGUCCGCGCCAAGUGUGGCUGCGCCACUCACUCGCGAAGCAUCGCUGAGAGGGAAAGAAGAAAAAGGAUUAUCAAGAGGCUUAGAAGGUUGCAAUACCUCGUGCCCAACAUGGAUAAGCAAACAAAUACUUCAGACAUGGUCAACAUUGUUGUAGACUACAUCAAAGUGGACCAAAUUGAGAAACUAAAAACAGGACCAAGGAAACUGCUCAUGCUGAGCCGAUCAGAAGUGCUGACGCCGCAGAACCAGAUAUGCGAGGUUAUGUUUGCACCAGUGUGAUUAGCAAGCCCAAGUUUUGCUUCAGUAGAUAAGUUGUAAAUGUCCUUCACACCGCGUUUCAAGUAGUAUCCAUGCCCAUUUCCCCCUUCUUUGGUUGUACUAUGGAUUAGCUUCAAUGGCUUCAAGACUAGGAGGUGACAAGUAGAAUGUUGUAAUUUAAGUAUUAAGGCAUUGCCAAUCUUUCAUUUCAACGCAAGUUGGAUUGCUUCUGCU